UAAUACGUAGGUGGCAAGCGUUGUCCGGAAUUAUUGGGCGUAAAGCGCGCGCAGGCGGUCUUUUAAGUCUGAUGUGAAAGCCCACGGCUCAACCGUGGAGGGUCAUUGGAAACUGGAAGACUUGAGUGCAGAAGAGGAGAGUGGAAUUCCACGUGUAGCGGUGAAAUGCGUAGAGAUGUGGAGGAACACCAGUGGCGAAGGCGACUCUCUGGUCUGUAACUGACGCUGAGGCGCGAAAGCGUGGGGAGCAAACAGGAUUAGAUACCCUGGUAGUCCACGCCGUAAACGAUGAGUGCUAAGUGUUAGAGGGUUUCCGCUCUUUAGUGCUGCAGCUAACGCAUUAAGCACUCCGCCUGGGGAGUACGACCGCAAGGUUGAA
rnacentral:rRNA from 1 species